AUUGAACGCUGGCGGCAGGCCUAACACAUGCAAGUCGAACGAGUUGCGGACGGGUGAGUCAUGUCUGGGAAACUGCCUGAUGGAGGGGGAUAACUACUGGAAACGGUAGCUAAUACCGCAUACCAUCAGAUGUGCCCAGAUGGGAUUAGCUUGUUGGUGGGGUAACGGCUAACCAAGGCGACGAUCCCUAGCUGGUCUGAGAGGAUGACCAGCAACAGGGGAACGGAGAAACGGGCCAGAUUCCUAGGGGAGGCAGCAGGGGGAAAUAUGGCAAAAUGGGCGAAAGCCUGAUGCAGAAAGGCCGCGUGUAUGAAGAGGGCCUUCGGGUGGUAAAGUACGUUCAGCGGGGAGGCGUUACCCGAAGAAGAAGCACCGGCUAACUCCGUGCCAGCAGCCGCGGUAAUAC
rnacentral:rRNA from 1 species